rnacentral:lncRNA from 1 species
GCAGUUGUAAUUGUAGUUGUGAAUAAUUGUUUUCUGCUCUUUUCACUUAAUAAAUAUUAUUAUAAAGUCCUCAUUAUUUUUAAUGAUUGCAUGACAAAGAAGGCUUAUUUUAGAAAGUGACUUAACGCCGCUGUGUAGGCUCCCGGCACUGGGGGCACUUGGUGCCGCCUGCACGUGUGCACAGGCACUCUAUCCCCAGGCCCUGCUGUGAGAGUCGCUGGCAGAGGUUCCUCCCAGGGAAAGACGCCUGUGUACACAGAAAUUACACAUGAUUUUCAAAAGUCACGUGUGGAUCUUUGGAUCAUUAAUAAGAAGCCCUGUCCUAGAUUUUGAAGUGGACAACCCACCCUACCCCACCCCACAAAUGUGGUGGCUUUCAGGCCGCCUUCAGCUGGUAAGAUAGCUGGGCGUUGGGACAGCCGGGACAACGGGGCCUCUCCCGUCUCUCGUUCUGGGCA